rnacentral:rRNA from 1 species
UACGGAGGGUGCAAGCGUUAUCCGGAUUCACUGGGUUUAAAGGGUGCGCAGGCGGAUAUGUAAGUCAGUGGUGAAAUCUCUGGGCUUAACCCGGAAAUUGCCAUUGAUACUAUAUAUCUUGAAUGCUGUGGAGGUAAGCGGAAUAUGUCAUGUAGCGGUGAAAUGCUUAGAUAUGACAUAGAACACCUAUUGCGAAGGCAGCUUGCUACACAGUUAUUGACGCUGAGGCACGAAAGCGUGGGGAUCAAACAGG